AGGCCAUCUGGUGGAUGGCUUGGCUCGGGUAGCGAAGAAGGUCGUGGCAAGCUGCGAUAAGCCCAGGCGAGGCGCAUGCAGCCUUAGAACCUGGGAUUGCCGAAUGGGACAUCCUGUAAGGCUGAAAGCCUUACAUUCAGCUCUUUUGAGCUGAAGGCUUACGCGGGGAAUUGAAACAUCUUAGUACCCGCAGGAAGAGAAAUCAAUAUGAGAUGCGGUUAGUAGGGGCGACCGAAAGCCGCAGAGGGCAAACCAAACGCCUUAACGAAAAGUUAAGGCGGAUGUGGAGUAUGGGUUGGGAGCACCGCCUAACUCUUUGAGCCGAAGUUUCCUGGAACGGAACGCCAUAGAGGGUGAUAGCCCCGUAGGCAAAGAAGAGAAGGCGGAUUUCCCAAUUCCUGAGUAUGGUUGGUUGGAUUUCCAGCCAGAAGAAGGGGGUUAUCUACCUCCAACCCUAAAUAUAACCCGAGUCCGAUAGCGCACUAGUACUGUGAGGGAAAGCUGAAAAGAAAGGGGUAAAACCCUGUGAAAAGAUCCUGAAACCAGAUGGCUAUAGUCUGGUGGUAUAAGCCUUCUCUUUGAGAAGGUGAAGCCACCGUCCGUUUCGAAAAACGGGGCAGGGAGUUUAUGCUCAUGGCGAGGCGAAAGCCGUAGCGAAAGCGAAAACAGCGCAGUUCUUUAAGAACGAGGCUGUUCCGUGUGAAAGCGCGGUUAGUCAUGGGCAUAAGACCAGAAGCCGGGUGAUCUACUCCUGGGCAAGGUGAAGUUCUCCGAAAGGAGAAUGGAGGCCUGAAGGGGUGCUGGUAUCACAUCCGCUCCUCUGACCUGGGAGUAGGGGUGAAAGGCCAAACGAACCCGGCGAUAGCUGGUUCCUCCCGAAAUGAGUCUCAGCUCAGCCUCACCUGAGCCUAUUGCAGGGUAGAGUUACUGAUUACAUGGUUAAGGGGAGAAAUCCUCGGCCAUGUUGUCAAACUCCGAAUCUGUAAUAGGCGUAGAGGGUGGGAGUGAGAGCAUCUGGAGUAAGUUUGUUGCUCGAGAGGGGAACAACCCAGACUAAAGGCUAAGGUCCCUAAAUGUUAGCUAAGUGCAUCGAAAGCAGUCUCCUCUCUAAAACAACAGGGAGGUAGGCUUAGAAGCAGCCAUCCUUUAAACAACGCGUAACAGCGGACCUGUCUAGAGAGGAGGCGCUGAAAGUUUAGAUGAGGAAGGUGAAUAAAUGGGAAAGAAAAAGAAAGAAGGAAAGAAGAGCUGUUGUUCUUAAAUCUUUAUUUUUUAGUUUUUCUUCAUCCUCAUCUAAACCAGCAAAAUGGACGGGGCUAAGCUAACUACCGAGGCCUUAGAUCACUCUUGCUAUUAGCAAGAGUGGUGGUAGGGAGGCGUCCCGAAAGGGUAGAAGCCUUUUCGUGAGAAAGGGUGGACCUUUCGGGAAUGAGAAUCCUGCUGGGAGUAGCAGCAAAAGUUGGGUGAAAAACCCAACCACCUACUCGGCAAGGGUUUUUCGCCAAUGUUAAUCAGGCGAAAGUUAGCCGAUCCUAACCACAUCUUUAACCUGGAUGUGGGAAAGGGAAACCGGUUAAUAUUCCGGUGCCACUUAGAAACCAAUGCAUCAUGCAUAAACGAUUCAGGAUAGCUCGACCAUAGCCGUCGCUAUGGUUAAGCAUAGAAUCUGAGGGAGUCUCGUCAUGAGGAGAACUCAGAGAAUAUGCGAUGAGGCCUGCGUAAGCAGGCUUCGGGCGAUUCCUGGAUCCCAUGAAAAUAUGUAUGAGAAGGUUUCUAAGUGAUCGUACCGAGAACCGACACAGGUGCCUUUGCUGAGUAGGCAAAGGUGUCUGGGAUAAUCCAGCUCAGGGAAUUCGGCAAAUUGGUCCCGUAAGUUCGCGAGAAGGGAUGCCUGCUGCCUCUUCGGAGGAUAGCAGGUCGCAGUGACAAGAGAGGUCCGACUGUUUAAUAAAAACAUAGCCGACUGCAAAGUGGAAACGCUUUGUAUAGUCGGUGAAUCGUGGCCACUGGCGGUGUGUGAAAGCCUGGUCCAACAGGCCUAAGCCCCGCUAUAGGCCGGCGGUAACUCUGACCGUCUUAACUAAGAUGGUCAAUUGAGCUUAGCGAUGAUAAAACCAUCUAGGGACUUAGGUAGCGUAAUCCCUUGCCGUUUAAUUGACGGCCUGCAUGAUUGAUCAACGAGACCUCUGCUGUCCCGAGCUGGAACCCAGCGAAACCGGCUUUCUGGCGAUUAGGCCAGAGACCUCCGGUGGGAAGAAGAGACCCCGUAGAGCUUUACUGCAGUCUGCUGUUGUAAUAUAGUCAGGAUUGUAUAGUGUAGGUAGGAGUCUGAGAAGCAUUCUCGUCAGGGAAUGUGGAGACGUCAAUGUAACACUACCCUAUCCUGACUAUAUUGCUAAUCUCGAAAGAGAGACAGCAGCAGAUGGGCAGUUUGGCUGGGGCGGUACGCCCUUGAAAAGAUAUCAAGGGCCCUCAAAGCUCAGCUCAUCAGGGUCACAACAAAUGCUGGAGAUAAUGAUUAAAAAUCAAGGUAGCUUAUGAAUCUCGAAAUCAGCAUUUGUUGCCCUAAAGAAAUCCUGAGUUGAGUGUAAGCGCAAAAGCUGGGUUGAUUGGAUCUCGAAAAGCAAGAGAUCCAAGGGCGAAAGCCUGAGCUAGCGAUCCGCAGUCAGGCAUAGAUAGCUGGCUGUGGCAAGAGAAAAGCUACCUCGGGGACUGAGGAAACGUUUAAAGUUUUUGUUUUUAAUUCGAAUAUUAUGGGAAUAAUUACAAUAAAGGAAUCAAAAAAUAGAAAAAGAAUAAAAGAAGUUAGAGAAGUGACUGAAAUAAACCGAGAAAUGCUCCUUGCUUUAGCGCUUUAUCCAGCUUUCAGAGCAACAUGGCCUUUUUUAAAUUCUUGGUUUAAUGAAGUCACUUUUGAAACAGGAGAAAGAGGAAUUUGUUGCUAUAAAGAUUUUAGAGAAGGAGAAGAAAUAGAAAUUUACAGAAAAGAUUUUUAUUUUUUAGGAAUUCCAAUAAUGGAAAAAACAUAUUUAAAGAAAGAAAAGCAGAAAAUUCCGAUAUAUUUUUUAUAAACGUUUCCUCCCCUAAAAUGGUGUCGUGGCGGGCGAGAGUUCAUAUCGACCCCGCGCGUUGCGGCGUCGUUGUUGGCUCAUCCUCUCCUGGCUGUGCAUAAGCAGCCAAGGGUGCAGGAGUCCACUGAUUAAAAGGGUACGUUAGCUGAGUUUAAACCGGCGCGAGCCAGGUUGGACUAUAUCUGCCGGAGGUGUUUGGGGUCUGAGAGGAAGGGAGAAUAAGUACGAAAGGAACAUUCUCCCGUGGCCUCUGGUGUACCGGUUGUCUGACAAGGCAUCGCCGGGUAGCUACGCCAUGUGCCGAUAAGAGCUGAAGGCAUCUAAGCUCGAAGCGGCCCUCGAAAAUAGACCCCUUGGCACCGGGUAGACGA
rnacentral:rRNA from 1 species